UACGUAGGGUGCGAGCGUUGUCCGGAUUUAUUGGGCGUAAAGAGCUCGUAGGCGGUUUGUCGCGUCGGCCGUGAAAUCUCCACGCUUAACGUGGAGCGUGCGGUCGAUACGGGCAGACUUGAGUUCGGUAGGGGAGACUGGAAUUCCUGGUGUAGCGGUGAAAUGCGCAGAUAUCGGGAGGAACACCGGUGGCGAAGGCGGUUCUCUGGGCCUUACCUGACGCUGAGGAGCGAAAGCGUGGGGAGCGAACAGG
rnacentral:rRNA from 1 species